GUAUCCUGAAAAGCCAUGACACAACCUAAAGGUAUGGGUGGUUUAGGCUUCAAAGAUUUUAAGCUUUUUAAUCUUGCAAUGUUGGCUCGUCAGGCAUGGCGCUUAUUGCCGAGUCCAGAUUUCCUUAGUGCUCGAAUCUUGAACAGUUUGUAAUUCCCUAACUCUACAAUCUUGGAAGCCGAGUUGGGAAAUCACCCAAGCCAAUUUUGGAGGGCUAUGAUAGCAAGACGGGACAUUUUGAAGCUGGGCUUAAUUAAGCGAACUUGGAACGGAACUGCAACGAACAUUUGGAAUGAUAAUUGGCUCCCACGCGACAAGAUGCUACGUCCCUAUGGGUGUGUCUCUCCCAAUCGGCCCACUCUUGUCUCGGAGCUCAUUGAUCCAACGUCUGCAACUUGGAUUAGGCAAAGAGUGGAGGAGGUUUUCAUGCCAAUGGACAUCCAUGUCAUUCUCGGGAUCCCUCUUUGUACAAGAAAUGUACCGGAUUUUUUGAGCUGA
rnacentral:rRNA from 1 species